AGGUGGAUUAAGUCAGGGUAAGUCCCCACUGAAGACCCAGGUGAUGUGAAAUACAAUCAGACUAAACAAAUACAGUAAUUGUUUAUGAAAUGAAUAUAACAUUAGAGUAAUUGAUAACCUUUUGACACUGCCUUUUUCAGAUCUCUAUGACGAAGGUAAGGUUGUUGAAUUUUUUUUAAAAAUUACAGUAAAAGAGAAAAGCCACUUCACCAAGUCAAAAGAUUGGGGAUAAAGAGACAAUUGUCUUUACUUCUGUAUUUACUUACUCCUUUAUCUGCACACAGUGUUAACACAUUUGUCUAAAUAUUAAGAUUGGGUUAAUAUUCUAUUAAAUGUUUACCAAGAUUAUAGCAUAAUUUCUGGCAUAACUUUUUAUUCUAGCCCUAUAGGUAAAAUCAGAGGUAGAGUGAAUUUAAAGUAGAUUUGCUUUUUGCUUAGAUGGAGGACAGAAUUACAUUAUUACAGAAUGCUGCUAUGAUUUUGGCCUCUUAAAGCCAAAUCCUACGCAUUAUUCCUGAGAGUGUGCAUGGCCUCCCACAUCACACUAAAGAGUGCCAGAUUUGCUGUGCAAGCUAACAUCAUUGCACUGAAACAGCUGAAGUGAAUGACUGAUCAUCUGCCACUAGAGUACUUUCAGCUGAUUAGAGGGUGUCAGCCUCUCUCUGGGACUGUUUCUUAUCCACUGAUGCAUAUUUGUAAUUCCUUGCAGAAAUGGUUACAAAUCAUUCCCCAUGUUUCCUUAAUUGUAUGCUUUGGCACUUUUCUGCUUUACCUACUACAAAAUAGUCGAGUCAAACAUCCUCCUGAGGUACAGAGACCAGUGUUCCUGUCCCGCUCCUCUCCUCGUAUCUGCCCGCAUAUCUGGAUGGGGUUCUCUUUGAUUGUAGGAUUUGAGGACAGAUUUGGACCGUACUUAAUAGUUAAAAGUGCUAUAAAAAUAAAAAUGAAUUCAUUUAA